rnacentral:lncRNA from 1 species
GAAAAAGUAUUUUUUAUUAUAAUAAAAUAUAAAAGCAAAAUUACUAACUAGCAUAUGCUGUACUACAUGGUAGUUGCCAUUUUAGAACACAUCAUAUUGUCAGUUUUGGAAUGGUGGAAACAUGUUGCCAUCAAUACAUUAGCCAAGGGCAGCAGUAUAUUAUUGCAGGGAUGGUUAGUAAGACUGAUUAUAUAUUAUAACAAAAAUAUGUUAAAUAAGUUUGUUAAGCAGGAUAUGUCUAUAAUGACAAUAAUAGCAUUGCAGCUGGUACUAUAAACACUAACUGCAGUGCUAUUUGUAUGUAUCUUCAAAGAUACCAGGAAGAAUUAUGAAUUGAGUGUUUAUAGAAAAGUAACCUAUGUCCCAGUACUCAUACCUGCUUGAUUGAAUAAUAUCUAAGCAUAUAUGAAAGUGGCUAUUAGAUUGUUUUUUAGGAGAGCAAUUACACAUUGCACUAUGAAUGCUGACAGACAGGAGGAAGAUAAGUGGAUAUAUCAGAAUGGUUUUAUAUAUGGUUAUUCUUAUAAAUAUAUAGAUGAUGUUUAUAGAAAAGUGAUAAAGUCCAUGGAUAGGAAUAACUCCAAUAAUCAAAAAGUACACUACAAUGAUAACAGAAUACCUGGAAGGGAUAAAUUUAUGAAAUUAUCAUUUGCAGGAACAAAAUUAAUUACAGAAAGGUAGUGAGAAGUGCAGAAGUAAGGUUAGUUUCUAAAAGGCAAUCCAUCAUCUUUAAUUAUUUACCUUUAAAGGUAAAUAAUUAAAAGUGAUAGGUUGUUUCAGUAUAUGGAGAAGGAAAAAUCUGGUGUCUAUGUCAUACCUUUGUAUAAUAAGAAUAUCCAAAAGGACAAAGAAUAUGCUGGCAUAACCAAAAAGAAUUUGAAGACAGGCUGCUUGGAAGUAGAAAAUACGAGAGCCACAUUGUGUAAAUAGUUUUACAAACAUGAUAUAGAGAUUGACUGGGAUUAUACAAGAUUUGUAAGAUCAUGUGACACAUUGAAAGAGAGCUUGGUAUUGGAAUUCAUAGAAAUUUUGAAGAGGGCCCAUUUUUAAAACAUAAUUAAUAAUCAUUCAGAAGAUAGCUUUUCAAUAACAUGGAAAUAUGGCAUACAUGGUAAUACCUAAAGAUUUAUGUAAAGUACAUAUUGGCUUGUACAAUUGUAACAGUUUGAGCAUUUCCUCAUAAGUUUAGAAACCUCGACUAAUAUUAAUUUUUAUAGUAUUGAUAUUUCAAUAUUUGUUAAUGUGAUGUAGUUUAAUAAUUUGUAUAAUAUAGUAAUUACAGCUAUAAACUUAAUGUAUG